UAUCUCUGUAGAGUCUGCAUAUCAAUAAGCGGAGGAAAAGAAACUAACUAGGAUUCCCUCAGUAACGGCGAGUGAAGCGGGAAGAGCUCAAAUUUGAAAUCUUCAAGGUUCUACCUUGACGAAUUGUAGUUUAAAGAAGUGUUUUCUGUUGGAGUUUUGGUAAAAGUUCUUUGGAAUAGGACAUCAUAGAGGGUGAGAAUCCCGUAUUUGACCAUUAUUUCCAGCUUUGUGAUACACUUUCAACGAGUCGGAUUGUUUGGGAAUGCAGUCCAAAAUGGGUGGUAAAUUUCAUCUAAAGCUAAAUAUUGGCGAGAGACCGAUAGCGAACAAGUACCGUGAGGGAAAGAUGAAAAGAACUUUGAAAAGAGAGUUAAACAGUACGUGAAAUUGUCAAAAGGGAAGCGUUUGACACCAGUGUUGUUUUCUCGAAAAUCAAUUAAAAAAGGCAGGAUUUUGUGUUGUAUUGACUUUAUCAGCUUUUCCCUUGCACUCCUUUCUUGUCUUUUUUAAUGCACUUUUCGUUUAACAAGUCAACAUCAAUUUCUUUUGUUGUAAAAGGGUCAUUGGAAGGUGGCUUUCUUUUCGGAGAAAGUGUUUAUAGCCUUUGGCCUCUGCAAUCGGAGAGAUUGAGGUCUGCAGCGUAGAUCCUUCGGGGUUAGAUACAUUUGUGCUAAGUUAUAGCCUUUCAUAGACAACUUGUUGACUAUGAUCAGUCAUGUAGCUUACUCGCUUAUGCUAUUUUACCUACGCUUAGGAUGUUGACGAUCAGCUGAGCGCG
rnacentral:rRNA from 1 species